AAUUGUUACAGCUCUUUUAGAAUUUGUCUAGCAGGUUUUCUGU
ensembl:snRNA U7 U7 small nuclear RNA